rnacentral:lncRNA from 1 species
UUGUUAGGAAGUGUCCUUUUGCUUUCAAAGUCAUGAAAGUAUUUUUUUUAAGCAACACCAAACGCAUCCUUGGUGCCUUUGUGCGAUCGGCAUGUAGCCGGAAUGGUGCAUUCAAACAGAACAGGUCACGUAGAGUCGGCAGCAACAAUUUCUUAUUUCCCCGAGAAGAUCUUGUGAGUAAAUGAUGCAUGGCAGACUUUG